GGGCCCGCACAAGCGGUGGAGCAUGUGGUUUAAUUCGAAGAUACGCGCAGAACCUUACCUACUCUUGACAUACUUGGAAGCUCUUGUAAUGAGAGUGUGCCUUUUGGAACCAAGAUACAGGUGCUGCAUGGCUGUCGUCAGCUCGUGUCGUGAGAUGUUCCGUUAAGUCGGAUAACGAGCGCAACCCUUACCCCUUAUUUGCCAGCGAUUCGGUCGGGAACUAUAAGGGGACUGCCGGUGAUAAACCGGAGGAAGGUGAGGACGACGUCAAGUCAUCAUGGCCCUUACGAGUAGGGCUACACACGUGCUACAAUGGGGAAUACAGACGGACGCUAAGCCGGCGAGGUGGUGCUAA
rnacentral:rRNA from 1 species